UUGACCUCGGAUCAGGUAGGGAUACCCGCUGAACUUAAG
rnacentral:rRNA from 35 species